rnacentral:rRNA from 1 species
UAGGGAAUAUUGCACAAUGGGGGAAACCCUGAUGCAGCAAUGCCGCGUGAAGGAUGAAGUAUUUCGGUAUGUAAACUUCUAUCGAUGGGGAAGAAAAAAAUGACGGUACCCAAGUAAGAAGCCCCGGCUAACUAUGUGCCAGCAGCCGCGGUAAUACAUAGGGGGCAAGCGUUAUCCGGAUUUACUGGGUGUAAAGGGUGCGUAGGCGGUUAAGAAAGUCAGAUGUGAAAACCCAGGCUUAACUUGGGAUGCAUUUGAAACUUCUUGACUAGAGUACAGGAGAGGUAAGUGGAAUUCCUAGUGUAGCGGUAAAAUGCGUAGAUAUUAGGAAGAACACCAGUGGCGAAGGCGACUUACUGGACUGAAACUGACGCUGAGGCACGAAAGCGUGGGGAGCGAACAGGAUUAGAUACCCGUGGUAGUCCACGCUGUAAACGAUGAAUACUAGGUGUUGGGGGCUAAAGCUCUCAGUGCCGCAGCUAACGCAAUAAGUAUU